rnacentral:rRNA from 1 species
AGCUCCAAUAGCGUAUAUUAAAGUUGUUGCAGUUAAAAAGCUCGUAGUUGGAUUUCUGGCAGGGGGCAACAGCCCGCUUGCAGCGUGUGCUUGCCGUCCCCUACCAUCCUUCUGUUAACGCGCCAGGACAUUCACUUGUCGGGCGCGGGCUCAGAUAAUUUACCUUGAGAAAAUUAGAGUGUUUCAGGCAGGCUGACGCCGGGAUACAUUAGCAUGGAAUAAUGGAAUAGGACUUUCGCCUCUUCUGUUGGUCUGAGGGGUGAUCGUAAUGAUUAAUAGGGAUAGUUGGGGGCAUUAGUACUUAACUGUCAGAGGUGAAAUUCUCGGAUUUGUUAAAGACUAACUUAUGCGAAAGCAUUUGCCAAGGAUGUUUUCA